rnacentral:tRNA from 1 species
ACUUGAAUAGUUUAAUAAAAAUAAUACUUUGUGGUGGUAUUGAUGUGAGCUUCACUUUAAGUC